AAUGAACGCUGGCGGCAGGCCUAAAACAUGCAAGUCGAACGCCCUAGCAAUAGGGAGUGGCGCACGGGUGAGUAACAUGUGGGAAUAUGCCUUUUGGUACGGAACAACGUUUGGAAACGAACGCUAAUACCGUAUGGUCCCUCCGGGGUAAAGAUUUAUCGCCAAAAGAUUAGCCCGCACUAGAUUAGCUAGUUGGUAAGGUAAUGGCUUACCAAGGCGACGAUCUAUAGCUGUUCUGAGAGGAAGAUCAGCGACACUGGGACUGAGACACGGCCCAGACACCUACGGGAGGCAGCAGUUAUGAAUAUUGGACAAUGGGCGCCAGCCUGCUCCAGCCAUGCCGCGUGAGUGAUGAAGGCCUUCUGGUUGUAAAAUCCUUUCACCGGUGAAGAUAAUGACUGUAUCCGGAGAAGAAGCCCCGGCUAACUUCGUGCCAGCCGCCGCAGUAAGAC
rnacentral:rRNA from 1 species